AUUGAACGCUGGCGGCAGGCCUAACACAUGCAAGUCGAACGAGUGGCGGACGGGUGAGUAAUGUCUGGGAAACUGCCCGAUGGAGGGGGAUAACUACUGGAAACGGUAGCUAAUACCGCAUACCAUCGGAUGUGCCCAGAUGGGAUUAGCUAGUAGGUGGGGUAAUGGGUAACCUAGGUGGCGAUCCAUAGCGGGUCUGAGAGGAUGACCGGCCACCCUGGAACUGAGCAACGUUCCAGACUCCUACGCGAGGCAGCAGUGGGGAAUAUUGCACAAUGGGCACAAGCCGGAUGCAGCCAUGCCGCGUGUAUGAUGAAGGCCUUCGGGUUGUAAAGUACUUUCAGCGAGGAGGCGUUACUCGCAGAAGAAGCACCGGCUAACUCCGUGCCAGCCGCCGCGGUAAUUC
rnacentral:rRNA from 1 species